rnacentral:rRNA from 1 species
GAUGAACGCUAGCUACAGGCUUAACACAUGCAAGUCGAGGGGAAACGACAUUGGAAGCUUGCUUCCGAUGGGCGUCGACCGGCGCACGGGUGAGUAACGCGUAUCCAACCUGCCCAUCACUUGGGGAUAACCUUGCGAAAGUAAGACUAAUGCCCAAUGACAUUUAUAGAAGGCAUCUGAAAUGAAUUAAAGAUUUAUCGGUGAUGGAUGGGGAUGCGUCUGAUUAGCUUGUUGGCGGGGUAACGGCCCACCAAGGCGACGAUCAGUAGGGGUUCUGAGAGGAAGGUCCCCCACAUUGGAACUGAGACACGGUCCAAACUCCUACGGGAGGCAGCAGUGAGGAAUAUUGGUCAAUGGGCGCAGGCCUGAACCAGCCAAGUCGCGUGAGGGGAGACGGUCCUACGGAUUGUAAACCUCUUUUGUCGGGGAGUAACGUGCGGGACGGGUCCCGUAUUGAGAGUACCCGAAGAAAAAGCAUCGGCUAACUCCGUG